rnacentral:rRNA from 1 species
UACGGAGGGUGCUAGCGUUGUUCGGAAUUACUGGGCGUAAAGGGCGCGUAGGCGGCCGCCUAAGUCAGACGUGAAAUCCCUCGGCUCAACCGGGGAACUGCGUCUGAUACUGGGUGGCUUGAAUCCGGGAGAGGGAUGCGGAAUUCCAGGUGUAGCGGUGAAAUGCGUAGAUAUCUGGAGGAACACCGGUGGCGAAGGCGGCAUCCUGGACCGGCAUUGACGCUGAGACGCGAAAGCGUGGGGAGCAAACAGG